rnacentral:lncRNA from 1 species
AAGACCUAACGGUCUUGUCACAGAGCACCGCGGAAGUGCAUUUAACCAGAAAGUUCACGCCUCCUUCGUUACCAUGACGCGAAAUAUGUCCCGUCAUUAUGGCCCGUCAUUAUGGAAUCAAUUGAAAAAAAACAAUAUAAAAAAUUUGAAAAUCACUUUAUCUUAUAAACGACAAAUGAAAAUACAUCUCCUUAAUUUCGGACAUAUAUAACAAUGGGCAUUGGACAUCUCAAGACAUCCGACAAACAUCGAGUGGACGUCCAGACUCAUAUUUAUUAACAAUCAUGUCAACAAUAAUAUCGACAUGUCGCUACGUUAGAA